GGUCAGCCAGUCUCAGGCCGGGCCCUGCCCAGCCCCCACUUCCCCCUCCCCAGGCCCUGGCUCCCGGCCUUUCUGGGCCGGGGGCCUGGGCUGGCACUGGACAGUGGGGGCCUGGAGAGGAAGGAGGCUUGGCGGGCGGCUUGAGGGGGAGGUUUCUGCACUGAAGGUCACGCUGUCCUGCAGCUCGGGCAGCCCAGAGAGAAUCAGGUGGGUCAUCACCAGCCCUGCUGUUCUCCGCACCUGCUGAGCUGGGUCCCGGAGCCUAGGAGUGAAAUCUCAAGUCACUGGCACUAAUGGAAUGUGUCUGGGGAAAGGCAAGUUCUGUAAAACCAUUCCUACAGUGGUCAAAUGUGUCUAUAAAGAGGAAGCACACCUUAAUUAAACAGGAAAAGAACUAGGA